AUGGAGAAGAACAUGACAAUUGAUAACAAGCUUCCAUUUUACAAAUCCAAGUGUAUCAUUUUUUUCACUUUCUUCAAUUUUUCCUUAUUCUCCUGUAGAGUUGUAGUUGCAUAUUUGGAUCGGAUUCCAUGCUAUGUGCAACGAUCCCAACAAGUGAGUUUAUUUGCUGUUCAACUUUGA